AACGUCCGUCGUGAAGAGGGAAACAACCCAGACCGCCAGCUAAGGUCCCAAAGUCAUGGUUAAGUGGGAAACGAUGUGGGAAGGCACAGACAGCCAGGAUGUUGGCUUAGAAGCAGCCAUCAUUUAAAGAAAGCGUAAUAGCUCACUGGUCGAGUCGGCCUGCGCGGAAGAUGUAACGGGGCUAAACCAUGCACCGAAGCUGCGGCAGCGACACUAUGUGUUGUUGGGUAGGGGAGCGUUCUGUAAGCCUGCGAAGGUGACCUGUGAGGGUUGCUGGAGGUAUCAGAAGUGCGAAUGCUGACAUAAGUAACGAUAAAGCGGGUGAAAAGCCCGCUCGCCGGAAGACCAAGGGUUCCUGUCCAACGUUAAUCGGGGCAGGGUGAGUCGACCCCUAAGGCGAGGCCGAAAGGCGUAGUCGAUGGGAAACAGGUUAAUAUUCCUGUACUUGGUGUUACUGCGAAGGGGGGACGGAGAAGGCUAUGUUAGCCGGGCGACGGUUGUCCCGGUUUAAGCAUGUAGGCUGGUUGUCCAGGCAAAUCCGGAUAAUCAAGGCUGAGGUGUGAUGACGAGGCACUACGGUGCUGAAGUAACAAAUGCCCUGCUUCCAGGAAAAGCCUCUAAGCAUCAGGUAACAUCAAAUCGUACCCCAAACCGACACAGGUGGUCAGGUAGAGAAUACCAAGGCGCUUGAGAGAACUCGGGUGAAGGAACUAGGCAAAAUGGUGCCGUAACUUCGGGAGAAGGCACGCUGGUGUGUAGGUGAAGUCCCUGCGGAUGGAGCUGAGACCAGUCGAAGAUACCAGCUGGCUGCAACUGUUUAUUAAAAACACAGCACUGUGCAAACACGAAAGUGGACGUAUACGGUGUGACGCCUGCCCGGUGCCGGAAGGUUAAUUGAUGGGGUUAUCCGUAAGGAGAAGCUCUUGAUCGAAGCCCCGGUAAACGGCGGCCGUAACUAUAACGGUCCUAAGGUAGCGAAAUUCCUUGUCGGGUAAGUUCCGACCUGCACGAAUGGCGUAAUGAUGGCCAGGCUGUCUCCACCCGAGACUCAGUGAAAUUGAACUCGCUGUGAAGAUGCAGUGUACCCGCGGCAAGACGGAAAGACCCCGUGAACCUUUACUAUAGCUUGACACUGAACAUUGAGCCUUGAUGUGUAGGAUAGGUGGGAGGCUUUGAAGCGUGGACGCCAGUCUGCGUGGAGCCAACCUUGAAAUACCACCCUUUAAUGUUUGAUGUUCUAACGUUGGCCCCUUACCGGGGUUGCGGACAGUGUCUGGUGGGUAGUUUGACUGGGGCGGUCUCCUCCCAAAGCGUAACGGAGGAGCACGAAGGUUAGCUAAUCCUGGUCGGACAUCAGGAGGUUAGUGCAAUGGCAUAAGCUAGCUUGACUGCGAGCGUGACGGCGCGAGCAGGUGCGAAAGCAGGUCAUAGUGAUCCGGUGGUUCUGAAUGGAAGGGCCAUCGCUCAACGGAUAAAAGGUACUCCGGGGAUAACAGGCUGAUACCGCCCAAGAGUUCAUAUCGACGGCGGUGUUUGGCACCUCGAUGUCGGCUCAUCACAUCCUGGGGCUGAAGUAGGUCCCAAGGGUAUGGCUGUUCGCCAUUUAAAGUGGUACGCGAGCUGGGUUUAGAACGUCGUGAGACAGUUCGGUCCCUAUCUGCCGUGGGCGCUGGAGAAUUGAGGGGGGCUGCUCCUAGUACGAGAGGACCGGAGUGGACGCAUCACUGGUGUUCGGGUUGUCAUGCCAAUGGCACUGCCCGGUAGCUAAAUGCGGAAGAGAUAAGUGCUGAAAGCAUCUAAGCACGAAACUUGCCCCGAGAUGAGUUCUCCCUGAGACUUUAAGUCUCCUGAAGGAACGUUAAAGACGAUGACGUUGAUAGGCCGGGUGUGUAAGCGCAGCGAUGCGUUGAGCUAACCGGUACUAAUGAACCGUGAGGCUUAACCUU
rnacentral:rRNA from 1 species